AACGAACGCUGGCGGCAGGCUUAACACAUGCAAGUCGAGCGCAUCCUUCGGGGUGAGCGGCGGACGGGUGAGUAACGCGUGGGAACGUGCCCUCUUCUACGGAAUAGCCUCGGGAAACUGAGAGUAAUGCCGUAUACGCCCGCAAGGGGAAAGAUUUAUCGGAGGAGGAUCGGCCCGCGUUGGAUUAGGUAGUUGGUGGGGUAACGGCCUACCAAGCCGACGAUCCAUAGCUGGUUUGAGAAGAUGAUCAGCCACACUGGGACUGAGACACGGCCCAGACUCCUACGGGAGGCAGCAGUGGGGAAUCUUGGACAAUGGGGGCAACCCUGAUCCAGCCAUGCCGCGUGAUCGAUGAAGGCCUUAGGGUUGUAAAGAUCUUUCAGCUGGGAAGAUAAUGACGGUACCAGCAGAAGAAGCCCCGGCUAACUCCGUG
rnacentral:rRNA from 1 species